rnacentral:rRNA from 1 species
UACGUAGGGUGCAAGCGUUGUCCGGAAUUAUUGGGCGUAAAGAGCUCGUAGGCGGUCUGUCGCGUCGGAUGUGAAAAUCCAGGGCUCAACCCUGGACCUGCAUUCGAUACGGGCAGACUAGAGUUCGGUAGGGGAGACUGGAAUUCCUGGUGUAGCGGUGAAAUGCGCAGAUAUCAGGAGGAACACCGAUGGCGAAGGCAGGUCUCUGGGCCAUAACUGACGCUGAGAAGCGAAAGCAUGGGGAGCGAACAGG